UACCGCAUAUACUGUGAGCAGGAAAGGCAGGGGCUCGCAAGACCUUGCGCUCUGGGAGCGGCCGAUGUCGGAUUAGCUAGUUGGUGGGGUAAAGGCCUACCAAGGCGACGAUCCGUAGCGGGUCUGAGAGGAUGAUCCGCCACACUGGGACUGAGACACGGCCCAGACUCCUACGGGAGGCAGCAGUGGGGAAUUUUGGACAAUGGGCGGAAGCCUGAUCCAGCCAUGCCGCGUGAGUGAAGAAGGCCUUCGGGGUUGUAAAAGCUCUUUUCGGCCGGGAAGAAAUCGCAUGGGUCAAUACCCUGUGUGGAUGACGGUACCGGAAUAAGAAGCACCGGCUAACUACGUGCCAGCAGCCGCGGUAAUACGUAGGGUGCGAGCGUUAAUCGGAAUUACUGGGCGUAAAGCGUGCGCAGGCGGUUUGGUAAGUCAGAUGUGAAAUCCCCGGGCUCAACCUGGGAACUGCAUUUGAGACUGCCAAGCUGGAGUUUGGCAGAGGG
rnacentral:rRNA from 1 species